CCAGCGGCUGCAGCCGGAUCAACGUUCCUGCUCGGCUGUUAAGUGACAUCUCCUCUGUAGAGGUGUCCUCAUCCUUCUCCAGGAAAACCACGACUCACAGGGUGUUCUCCUCUCAUGGCAUUUACUGAUAGCUGGAGUUCAACUUCCUGCUGGUGGAAGGAGGUCCACUUUAUGCUGCAAUGGCUUUGUACCUGGAGUGCUGAGGAGAGCCCACUGCUUUUAAACAUUCCCAGAUCCAGACUCCGAACCAGAGGUUAACGGCGCGUGUUAAGUAUUCCUCUAGACCCGAGAGGUUUAAACAGCUGAUCCAGUUAAAUCAAUCAUUUAUUUUAGUUCAAGCAGCAGAGCUUUCCUUUUUAGUUUACUAGAUUAUUUUAUCAUAUUUGUUUAGUUUAACGUGGGUUUUGAGUUCAUUUUUGUUUCUUAGUGUUGUUCAGUCAUUUUAUCAUUUACAUUUUGUUCAUAGUUAUUCUAUCCAUCCAUCAACCAUCCACCCUCAAUCCAUUCAUUCAUCCAUUCAUUCAUUCAUUUGUUCAUUCAUUCAUUCAUUCAUUCAUUAAUCAUCCAUCCAUCUAUAAUCCUUCAUCCAUCCAUCCAUCCAUCCACCUCUCCAGCUCCUCCCGGAGGAUUUCAAGGUGUUGGAGCUACACUUCCUUCCCCUGAGUUUGGGGUCUAGCCUAGGGUCUUCUUGCCAUGCUGACACUCUCCAGGGAAUGCUGGAACCACCUCGGCUGACUCCUUAUGAUGUAGAGGAGUUCCUCACCUUACUCCCAAGGCUGAACCCAGCCAUCUAAUGGAGCAGGAUCUUUAGGUUAUGGUCUUCCUCUGCAGACCAGACAAUGUUCUUCUGUAAUUGUCUUCACAUCUAGACUGAAACCCUGGUUUUAUUAGCUGCCUUUUGGUGCUCUGUGAGGCUGGGACUGCUUUUAUUCCCUUGUAUAAAAUGUUUUUAUUGC